rnacentral:lncRNA from 1 species
UAACAUACCGGCCCUUUCAGACAGUCCUUAAGCUCUACUGGGCUUUCCAAAGUUGUCACCCCCUUGCUGGGCACCACUCCACACACAGCUUAAUCUUUCCCUCUUGAAAGCCCAGCCGUUCCAUAGAACAGAGGGUGGUGGUGCCUCAGGGCCAGGCCCUCCCACCCCCACCAACCUCUCCUCCUCUCACCAGGGCUCCGGUGAGAGCAAAGGGCUCAUCAAUCAGGACCUAAAAAGGCUCUAAAAUGAGCUCCAGGAAUGUGGGCUCACCUCCACCAACACACUCAAGAGGCUGGAGUUCCUUUGGUUUAAAAAAAAAAAAAAAUGGAGGAGGAUUUUCCUAAAUGAAAACCAUGCUGUAUUAAGGCAGGAAACGGAAGCUCUU